GAAUGGCCAGCGCACCUUGCUAAAGGAUACAGGUCAUGCCCCACGGUGUUUCUCCCCGACGAUGCCCUCAGACAGCCGGAUUUGAAAACCACCAUCCAAUCUAUGAGUUUGACCAUAUAUUACAUCAUAAAGCACAGAGUUCAAGAUAGAACCUUGCAUAUUUUCGAUGAGAGAAGGCACCCCUUCAGA